UACAGAGGGGGCUAGCGUUAUUCGGAAUUAUUGGGCGUAAAGGGCGCGUAGGCGGCCAUGCGUGUCUUCCGUGAAAUCCCUCGGCUUAACUGAGGACGUGCGGAAGAAACUGCAAGGCUCGAGUCCGGGAGAGGGGAGUGGAAUUCCCAGUGUAGCGGUGAAAUGCGUAGAUAUUGGGAGGAACACCAGUGGCGAAGGCGGCUCACUGGACCGGAACUGACGCUGAGGCGCGAAAGCGUGGGGAGCAAACAGG
rnacentral:rRNA from 1 species